rnacentral:rRNA from 1 species
AGUGAACGCUGGCGGUAGGCCUAACACAUGCAAGUCGAACGGCAGCGCAGUAAGAGCUUGCUCUUACGGGUGGCGAGUGGCGUACGUGUGAGGAAUACAUCGGAAUCUACUUUUUCGUGGGGGAUAACGUAGGGAAACUUACUCUAAUACCGCAUACGACCUACGGGUGAAAGCAGUGGAUCUUCUGACCUUGCGCGAUUGAAUUAGCCGAUGUCGGAUUAGCUAGUUGGCGGGUGAAAGGCCCACCAAGGCGACGAUCCGUAGCUGGUCUGAGAGGAUGAUAAGCCACAUUGGAACUGAGACACGCUCCAGACUCCUACGGGAGGCAGCAGUGGGGAAUAUUGGACAAUGGGCGCAAGCAUGAUCCAGCCAUACCGCGUGGGUGAAGAAGGCGUUCGGGUUGUAAAGCCCUUUUGUUGGGAAAGAAAAGCAGCAGGUUAAUACCCAGCUGUUCUGACGGUAACCAAAGAAUAAGCACCGGCUAACUUCGUG